GACAAUUAGGUUUUAGUAUCACAUUAGUUAAAAGAGGCCCUGCGGGGGGGGAAGAAGGUGAGGGACGUUUUAACUGGAUAGCAGUACUGUCUGGGUUUAGAGACUCCACAGAAGACCCGAGUGACGGACGAGAGUCGAGUUGGACCUUCCGGUCGGGAAUCACGCUUUUUUGAAGGCAAUUCGUUGGAGUCGAAAUCGCAGACGCAAGAUAAGCAGUAGGAACAUUAUUCUUUUAUUUAUUGUCUUACUUACAUUAUUGUCUUAAUGAUGUGGAAAGGCAAAGAUAGGAGAGGUUGUGUGGAUCGAUACCUGCCACGUGGGCGAGUGGGUAACUCUGGUUAGUGUCCCUGGGGAUUCCUUCUUAACCACGGUCAGGUUAAAAAUAGUCCAGAACUUUCAUUACGUGAAAAUUCUGGAAAAAUAGUCCCAACUACCAAAGGGAAUUAAGAAGUAGGCCUACAGAUUCUCCGCAUGGCCUGAAUGAGGCCCAAGGAGCUAGGCCGCCCUGGAAUUAAACCCUUAGAAGUAGUAUGACCUGUACAAUUUUGUGCCUUUCGUUGUCUGGUCUAGGGGGUAGUACAUACGCCAAGCGUGAUUGGCUUGGUUUAAGCCAUUUCAGGGGAGGUGUCGCCUUUCAUUGUCUGGUCCAGGGGUAAUACACACGGCAAGCUUGAUCAACUUGACGGAGCCGGCUCGGGUAGGGUGUCUAAUGUAAAGGCUCGAAACACCCGACGAUCCGAGAGUGCAUUACUGAUGAUGUGUCCUGGCACAUGAUAAUGAGAGGUUUCGAUUUUCCUAUACAAGCAGCUGGCUUAGGAGCUCAGACUUUAAAUUCUGCAGACUAACCUUUGCCAGCUAAACAUAUAGAUCCACCAGCCCUACACUUAAACCUAAUCCUAAAGUCCAAAAGGGGCAUACACCCCCAUAAAUAGGCAAAUUCCAAGAGGGGUAGUCACCCCCAUAAACCCUAGGCAACUUCCAAGGGGGGCAUACACCCCCACAAACCCUAGGCAUUCCCCGAUUAACUUUUGAUAUUCUGAGAGGGGUAGGAUUCAACAAGGGCAAGUGUGGGACCUGGUUAAUGAAGGCGUGGGCCAGAUCAAAGUGGCAGGGUGAUGUGAAACAGAAUCUCAAGUGAGGAGAUCAGAAAUCACAAGAGGGCUUUUUAGCCCACUGCCCGCAUAAUUUCAACCUAACCUAUCAGUGACACGCUCUUCAUUCUCCCGGCCCCAGAAAGGCCAAUAAGAAAACCCAGAUAUUUUAUUUCACCUAUUAGGUGUUAAAAAAUUCAUAGUUAAAAGAAUGGAGAGGUUCACCAAUCAGCAGCUAAUGUACCUUUAAGGGCUGAGGUGAGCCGGUCUCCUAGCAACAGCCAGGUUUGCAGCAGGUGGACAAUUAGGUUUUAGUAUCACAUUAGUUAAAAGAGGCCCUGCGGGGGGAAGAAGGUGAGGGAUGUUUUAACUGGAUAGCUGUACUGUCUGGGUUUAGAGACUCCACAGAAGACCCGAGUGACGGACGAGAGUCGAGUUGGACCUUCCGGUCGGGAAUCACGCUUUUUUGAAGGCAAUUGGUUGGAGUCGAAAUCGCAGACGCAAGAUAAGCAGUAGGAACAUUAUUCUUUUAUUUAUUGUCUUACUUACAUUAUUGUCUUAAUGAUGUGGAAAGGCAAGGAUAGGAGAGGUUGUGUGGAUCGAUACCUGCCACGUGGGCGAGUGGGUAACUCUGGUUAGUGUCCCUGGGGAUUCCUUCUUAACCACGGUCAGGUUAAAAAUAGUCCAGAACUUUCAUUAUGUGAAAAUUCUGGAAAAAUAGUCCCAACUACUAAAGGGAAUUAAGAAGUAGGCCUACAGAUUCUCCGCAUGGCCUGAAUGAGGCCCAAGGAGCUAGGCCGCCCUGGAAUUAAACCCUUAGAAGUAGUAUGACCUGUACAAUUUUGUGCCUUUCGUUGUCUGGUCUAGGGGGUAGUACAUACGCCAAGCGUGAUUGGCUUGGUUUAAGCCAUUUCAGGGGAGGUGUCGCCUUUCAUUGUCUGGUCCAGGGGUAAUACACACGGCAAGCUUGAUCAACUUGACGGAGCCGGCUCGAGGAGGGUGUCUAAUGUAAAGGCUCGAAACACCCGACGAUCCGAGAGUGCAUUACUGAUGAUGUGUCCUGGCACAUGAUAAUGAGAGGUUUCGAUUUUCCUAUACAAGCAGCUGGCUUAGGAGCUCAGACUUUAAAUUCUGCAGACUAACCUUUGCCAGCUAAACAUAUAGAUCCACCAGCCCUACACUUAAACCUAAUCCUAAAGUCCAAAAGGGGCAUACACCCCCAUAAAUAGGCAAAUUCCAAGAGGGGUAGUCACCCCCAUAAACCCUAGGCAACUUCCAAGGGGGGCAUACACCCCCACAAACCCUAGGCAUUCCCCGAUUAAUUUUUGAUAUUCUGAGAGGGGUAGGAUUCAACAAGGGCAAGUGUGGGACCUGGUUAAUGAAGGCGUGGGCCAGAUCAAAGUGGCAGGGUGAUGUGAAACAGAAUCUCAAGUGGGGAGAUCAGAAAUCACAAGAGGGCUUUUUAGCCCACUGCCCGCAUAAUUUCAACCUAACCUAUCAGUGACACGCUCUUCAUUCUCCCGGCCCCAGAAAGGCCAAUAAGAAAACCCAGAUAUUUUGUUUCACCUAUCAGGUGUUAAAAAAUUCAUAGUUAAAAGAAGGGAGAGGUUCACCAAUCAGCAGCUAAUGUACCUUUAAGGGCUGAGGUGAGCCGGUCUCCUAGCAACAGCCAGGUUUGCAGUAGGUGGACAAUUAGGUUUUAGUAUCACAUUAGUUAAAAGAGGCCCUGCGGGGGGAAGAAGGUGAGGGAUGUUUUAACUGGAUAGCAGUACUGUCUGGGUUUAGAGACUCCACAGAAGACCCGAGUGACGGACGAGAGUCGAGUUGGACCUUCCGGUCGGGAAUCACGCUUUUUUGAAGGCAAUUGGUUGGAGUCGAAAUCGCAGACGCAAGAUAAGCAAGACUCCACAGAAGACCCGAGUGACGGACGAGAGUCGAGUUGGACCUUCCGGUCGGGAAUCACGCUUUUUUGAAGGCAAUUCGUUGGAGUCGAAAUCGCAGACGCAAGAUAAGCAUACUGUCUGGGUUUAGAGACUCCACAGAAGACCCGAGUGACGGACGAGAGUCGAGUUGGACCUUCCGGUCGGGAAUCACGCUUUUUUGAAGGCAAUUCGUUGGAGUCGAAAUCGCAGACGCAAGAUAAGCAGUAGGAACAUUAUUCUUUUAUUUAUUGUCUUACUUACAUUAUUGUCUUAAUGAUGUGGAAAGGCAAAGAUAGGAGAGGUUGUGUGGAUCGAUACCUGCCACGUGGGCGAGUGGGUAACUCUGGUUAGUGUCCCUGGGGAUUCCUUCUUAACCACGGUCAGGUUAAAAAUAGUCCAGAACUUUCAUUAUGUGAAAAUUCUGGAAAAAUAGUCCCAACUACCUAAGGGAAUUAAGAAGUAGGCCUACAGAUUCUCCGCAUGGCCUGAGUGAGGCCCAAGGAGCUAGGCCGCCCUGGAAUUAA